rnacentral:rRNA from 1 species
CAGUCGCCGCGGGAAAACGUAGGUGGCAAGCGUUGUCCGGAAUUAUUGGGCGUAAAGCGCGCGCAGGCGGAUAGGUCAGUCUGUCUUAAAAGUUUGGGGCUUAACCCCGUGAUGGGAUGGAAACUGCCAAUCUAGAGUAUCGGAGAGGAAAGUGGAAUUCCUAGUGUAGCGGUGAAAUGCGUAGAUAUUGGGAGGAACACCAGUGGCGAAGGCGGCUUUCUGGACUGCAACUGACGCUGAGGCUCGAAAGCCAGGGGAGCGAACGGGAUUAGAGACCCGUGUAGUCCCUGUCUCUUAUACA